rnacentral:rRNA from 1 species
AGGAUAAUACCCCAUAGAUCUAGAGCGCUGGAAUGCCUUUAGGUCGAAAACUCCGGUGCCUUAGGAUUGGUCUGCGGUCUAUCAGGCAGUAGUGGGUGUAACGGACCCACUAGCCCGUGACGGAUAUGGGCCUUGAGAGAGGGUGCCCAGAGAUGGACUCUGAGACAUGAGUCCAGGCCCUACGGGGCGCAGCAGUCGCGAAAACUUCGCAAUGGGGGAAACCCCGACGAGGGAAUUCCAAGUGCUAGCACUUUGUGUUAGCUGUUCUUCUGUCUAAAAAACAGGAGAAGUAAGGGGCGGGUAAGACGGGUGCCAGCCGCCGCGGUAAUACCCGCGCCCCGAGUGGUGGUCGAUAUUAUUGGGCCUAAAGCGUUCGUAGCCGGUUUGAUAAGUCUCUGGUGAAAUCCCGCAGCUUAACUGUGGGACUUGCUGGAGAUACUAUUAGACUUGAGGUCGGGAGAGGUUAGGGGUACUCCCAGGGUAGGGGUGAAAUCCUAUAAUCCUGGGAGGACCACCUGUGGCGAAGGCGCCUAACUGGAACGAACCUGACGGUGAGUAACGAAAGCCAGGGGCGCGAACCGGAUUAGAUACCCGGGUAGUCCUGGCCGUAAACGAUGUGGACUUGGUGUUGGAAUGGCCUCGAGCUGCUCCAGUGCCGAAGGGAAGCUGUUAAGUCCACCGCCUGGGAAGUACGGCCGCAAGGCUGAAACUUAAAGGAAU